UCCGCCCCGCUGAGGGAGGGGAAGCUGCUGAGAACUAGAGGGGCGGUUCCACCUGGCCCCGCCCCCUGUAUCUCUGGGCACCGGCCUCUGCCACGCCCCACCUCUGUUUUGCCUUUGUGAGUUCUCAAACGACUGGUGUCCCGGUUUUUUUUCCAUCUAAACAAGAGAAACCCCCAAAGUAGAAGGAAUCCAAGCUUCUUUCCACCUGUGGAUUGACCUGCUACAUUCAAAAGGGUGUUUCGCAGGUGAUCCGAGGUAAUGUCAAGUUUACAAGAUGACUAAGCAUCGCAGUGGCAGGCUAGCUGCAAUGCAAGGAGACGUUCUCCCGGCCAAGGUUAAUGACUCCGUGAUAAUAGCAGCACAAGUCCAAAAGGAUCCUAUGAAACCCAGUCUGACGUCAAAUCAUCCUAUGUAACCUGAAGAUGCCCUUAAACUUCUGCCUGUAUCUUCCAAGUGGACCACCAUGUGUGGGUUAUGCAGAGCCUGGGAACAUACCCAAGGCACCACACAUUUGAGGCAAGCUCUCUACCAACCAUCUCUAUCGCCAGCCUUACGUAUCGCAAAUAGAACCAAACUGUAUACACCGAAUACUGAGGAGCUGGAUAUAAUCGCGUGGAAAGAUAAACCUAAUUCUCUGUAUUUCCCCGUCCAUGAAAACUAAAUAAUACACCUCAUGUGGUUCCACCAGAUGGCGCUACAACACAGGGAAUCCACUUCACUGAGUUGGGAUGGAAAUGAGGUCCGGUCAGUCCGUUUUUAAAUUCAGUUCCAUUCUAGUGUUGAAUUUAGCUAUACCGCCAGAUUCAUAGUAGCAGAGGUCAUCCUAACCUAUCUCGAUUAAGUAGCCUGAGUAUUCCCAUAGUGUGUCUAGCUCAUGUCAGUAACCUUAUUGCAAAGGUCUAAUGAUUACGGGAGAGCGUUCGCAAAGCAUUGCUGUCAAGCCCUUCACAGAUAGUAGUUAUCAGCUUCUGUGUGCCAUAAACAAUUAGCUCAACUGUUUUCAAUGAUGUGGCACGCUGUUUGCCCUUGGAGAAUCACAAUUUCCACAUAAACUAUUGGUUCUGAGACUAUGGACACGAGCUGGGUGUGCACAGCUAUGUGUAAUAGAUGUGGGACCCUGCAGACUUUGUGAGACUCAGGUUUCCCAGGCUGGAAAGGCUGUGUAAAACUGCACUCUGCCAGGAAACCUAAACCCAACCUCAGCUCUGCCACUUAUGUGGUCCAGACGUUUUCUUUCCCUUUGAGAAAAGGAGGAUCUGUCACCCAAGCUGACCUGGAACUCCUGAUCCUCCUGCUUCAGCUUCUGAGAAGCAGGAUUAUAGACAUUCUCCAUAGGCCUAGAUGGGUUUAGUUAU
rnacentral:sRNA from 1 species